GGCGAGAGGAGAGCGUCGCUCGGCCCCGUGCCGCUGCCCGCCCCCCGCCUGCUCUGAUCUCCCCGCGGCGGCGGGCGACGCGAAAUGAUGCCGGGGAAGACCCUGCGCAAGGGUGCGCCGCAGAGCCCCGCUCCCGCAGCACAGGAAGCUGUGACCCAGUGCUCUUUGCAACUACGCAAAAUAGGAGACAUAUGCAACCUGCAGCAGAAGAUUCUUAAUGUUAUUACAAAACUGUUCUGCCCAGGAACGUGAAAACUCUUUGGGAGAUGUCAAACAGAAGAGGAAGGAAGGAAAUAAUGGUUUUGGAAAAUAUGGUCUUUACAAGCUUGUAAUAAGUAACUUGAACAAGAUGAGAAGUUGGAAUGAGCUGAAUUCAUUACUUACUGCUGCCUGUUCCCAUUGAAGGAAGGCUGUUGAAAUAGGAUUUCUCUGGAGAGCCGGACAUAUGUAUUGGCUGGUGGAUGUCAGUAUGGGGGAAAAAUUACAAUUAACCAUUCCAAAGAUUGACCUGUGAAGUGACUUGGAAGAGCAAGGAACCUUCUCAUCUGACAAGGGUAUCAAUGUUCUGGUUCAGGAGUUGCAUCUAGUUCUAUGUCACUUUGAGCAACAGGCAGAAGAUACCGGUUACCUCCAAACACUGGAUUGGAAUGUACAAUGAAAACCAGUUUCUAAGUUCUUGAUUGUUUUUGUUUUCUAAAACGUAGACUCUAUUGUACAAACCUGGUGUGGAGCCUAAUCUUAUUUUUGUUUGUUUGUUUUGAUUGUAGCACAUGUACAAGUGAUGUUACUGGUUACGCAGAUGUUUCUCUAAGGAAUAACACUGUAAUUCUGUUAAUUAUGAGGUUGCUGUAUGGAUCUAAGAUGUAUAUAUGUGUAUGAAAAGAGUAUUUCAUGGAACUUAAAGAGAUGACUUAUGGCUUAUGCACCAGAAAUAGUGCAGAUGACUAUUCAAAGGGUGCCAUAAAGACUGCAUUAAAACAGAUUAAAGGAAGCACAGUAGUUUAUGGUGAUUAAGAAAGUCCUUCAUGCAGUCAGUACUCUAAGAAAAUUAUUCAAUAAGAAAAAUGCAUACAUUAAAGCAUAUCUUACAUAGCAAAGUAAGAUGAUUGGCAGGUAUAUGAGUUUGGGGGAGAUUCCUUCACAGCAUCAGAAGGAAUAUUCAAACAGAAUAAGCUACUGUUGGGAGGUAAUAAAAUUACUCUAAAAACAAAUCGAAAGUUAAACUGAAAUGGAAUCAGUGGUUUUCUGGAGAAAAAACUUGAAUUAUUUUUCAAAGAAAAUAACUGCUCAGAUUAAGAGAGAUGUCAAUAAAACUGAAUGUUACAGUUGUUACAGGAAAGUAAUGUAUUGCUUCUAAAUGAAAGCUGAGACCUUGACUGGAAAUAAAGGAUAAGAAAAAAAACUCAGCUCUUAUUUGGUGUCAACCUCAUUUUUGUUUGUAAUGAUGAAGAUGCUGUUAUUUUGUCUAAUGAUGUGAUAUGUUAGUGAGAUGAUUGUUGCAUCCUUAUUGAAAAGCAACAUUGCCCUGGCUUGGAGGAGAGACUUGUUCUGCACUUCAGUCCAUUAGAAAGCAACUUUUCUGUUUGUAUAUUUUAAAAGCCCCAAGAAUCAACUGCAAGAGAUGGUGCAACUACCAUGUCUAAGCCAAAUUAAUCAGUGUCUUAAACGAUGGGCUAAAUUAUACAUAGGAUGUCAACUAGUAGGAAAAUGGAUGUAAGUGACGAAAUAAUGUAACUUGCUUAGGUUUGGUAUUCAGAGGGUGUGCAAAAUAAGUAUCAGUGUCAGGCUGAAGGAAGAUGUAGCAAAAAAAGUAACUUGAAUUCACACACUCUUGCUUCUACUACACUUUCCUCUUGCAUGUAAAUUACAUCUGUCUUAUAUACCUUCUGAAUGCCAGAUCAGUGCAAGUUAAACCAUUUCACUGCUUGCAUCCAUUUUGGGCUCCCUUGUCCUUCGUGUGCAAUUCAUUCCACGCUAAGACACCAAUGAAUUUGUGCCAGGGGUUCCCAAACUUGGGUUUGCCGCUUGUUCAGGGUAAGCCCCUGGUGGGCCGUGAGACAUUUUGUUUACCCGAGUGUCCACAGGUACAGCCACUCACAGCUCCCGGUGGCUGCCAGAGGCGCGGGCCAGGCCACCGCUUCCCACAGCUCCCAUUAGCUGGGUACAGCAAACCAUGGCCACUGGGAGCUGCAAGUGGCUGUACCUGCGGUCACUCAGGUAAACAAAGCAUCUCGCAGCCCGCCAGGCGCUUACCCUGAACAAACCGCCAACCAAGUUUGGGAACCCUUAUUUGAGCCUAUGAUCUUGGAUAAAUCUGCUUUCUUUCAUGAGGUUUUCAUUGUAAAGCUCUUUUUAAUAUCCCAGGACCAAGUAUCCAGUGAUCUGAUUUGCUGACACUGAUUUCAUUUGGUAUAAUCUCAGCUGCUGGGUUUGUUUGUUUUUCUGAUGUAUAAGAGGCACAUUCCCAGUAAAGGAACUUUUGCAUUGGCUUGAAUGAGAGCAGGAGCAGGCCCAACUAUAGCAAGGUUUCCUUUUCCUAUGGGCCAUCAGAUAUUGUGUUCUCAGUGAGAACGUAGCAUUUCAGGAUGGUGUUGUUUUAUCCACAGUGCCACAAGCUAAUGUGACAAACAUGAACUUGUCUCCCUAAAGGUACAGAGUCCUAUCUCAUUCAGAAGCACCUUUUCAGGUAUUAAAGGGUGACUGUUGUUUUCAUUUCUGUUAUGUCAAAUUUUAGCUCCAUGAAUAACUCCAUGAGACUAAGCAAAGCUGUUCAUUCACGGUUUGAUCUAACAGCCACUGAAUUCAAUGGAAAGACUCCCACUGGUAUCCAUGGAGUUUGAUCACAGUCUUAGGUAAAACUCUAGUGAGUUAUGUCAGACUAAGAAUCUCAAGAAAAUGUAGUAUUAAGGAACUGUGGUGUUGCUAAAAUACACUCAAAUUAAGGUGUUCAGCUCAAUGGGGGCAGCCUUACAGUUAAUUAGGAUGCUAGCCAAGGUUUCAAAUGGCCUGUCAGUAAUUCUAGGCUGUAAACAGCAAAAAUACUAGCAUAAAGCUAUGGGAAUGAACUAUGUAAAUGUCACAGGGACAUUUCAGCUAGGAAUUGCAGCACUUUAUUGUAUAGAUGUCUAAUGGCAAUGUUUAUUUUUCAUGGAAUGUUUUUAUGUUGCUAAAUUCUAUAGUGUGUUUAUUUGGUGAUAGUUUAAUGUGACGUCAAUCAAACUGUUUACAGUGAAUUCAAAAGCAGAUUUAGUUCAAAGUGAUUAAUAUCUGUAUCAGUUUGAUCAUGUGAUCUGUGGGUAGCGUUUCCUUGCAUUACUUUUCAAAAUGAUGUGCCAUAUGACUGUAUCAACAUGAGAUUGUUUUUCUCAAGGCAUUUUUUUGGGGUUAGGGACAGAUGUUUUGUUAUAUAUCCCAAUAAAGUGUGUCUGUUGUUAUCUUGUUAAGAUAAUAAACAUGAUGUGUUU